rnacentral:lncRNA from 1 species
GUACAGUUUGUUCUGAGUGAGGGAGUCAAGAUAGAUAAGCGAAAGCUAAUUGAGUCACCCUCUUUAGAUAAAGUCAUUACUUUCUUAUUUUUUUACUUAAAUUAUUUGUUUUUUCAUUGAGAGAGUUUGUAAAAACUGUCAAUAUUACUUCUGCAUAAGACACUUCAUUUGCAAGGAAUACAAGCUGAUAUUUAAAAGAUA